UUUCAUUUCACCUCCCGCGGAGGCGCGCAUUUAUUUUCCAUUUUCUUCCCGGCGACACGGCGGCGCCACCUAAUAAGUGGAGAUAUGCGAUUAUUGCGUCCCAAUCGUUCCCUUUCAUCUGUCGGCGAAAAUCUGUGUGAAUCUCUCUUUUUCUUCCGUUCUCCGAAGCUAUCCUCUUCGUACCUAACCUCGUCGCCGAUCUUACUCCACUCCCCGGAAUCUCACCGUGUCUCCACAUUUUCAACUGCCGAAGACGAGAAGUAUGGCUUCCGUCGGCCGGAGAUGUAUGGGAGAAGCCUUUCCGGAACCGUUGGUGCUUACGAGCGCCACGUGUUCCUCUGCUAUCGAAGUCAUGAGGUUUGGCCGUCCCGUGUUGAUGGCUCGGACGCUGAUCUGCUACCUAAACUCCUUUCCUCGGCCAUAAAAACUCGUGAAAACGAAAUUUCUGUUAAGACGAAGCUGACGAUAUGCGAGGCAGGGGAGGGAACUGAGCAUUCAGAUGGAGAUGUAUUGGUUUUUCCGGAAAUGAUCAAAUACAGGGGUCUGAAAGACGAAGAUGUGGAGAGCUUUGUUGAGAAGGUGCUUAUGGAUGGUAAACAGCAGGUUUAUGGGGCACAUGAUGCUUUGGCUGGCUCUUAUAUUUUUGUAUGUGCACAUCGUAGUCGAGAUAAGAGAUGUGGGGUAUGUGGAACAGCUCUCAUUACAAAACUUAUAGAGGAGAUUGAACUAAGAGGACUAAAGGAUCAGAUUUGUGUACAUGCGUGUUCACAUAUUGGUGGACACAAGUAUGCUGGAAACGUGAUUGUUUUUAGUCCAGAUCUAGAUGGGAGAAUCAUGGGCCAUUGGUAUGGCUAUGUUACUCCUGAUGAUGUGCCUGAAUUGCUGGAUAAACAUAUUGGAAAAGGAGAGUUAAUAGAAAGGCUUUGGAGGGGUCGAAUGGGGAGAAUCAAUGAUGAGGAAGGUAAAGAAGUAGAUGAAGACAAACUUCCUAGUGCUGAAGUCUCCAAGGAAACUAAGAACAAACCUUGGGAGAAGGACAUCCAGGGCAACGAUUAGAAAAGUAGCCGCAAGCAAGUGGGCAGGGCGCACCCUCCUGCUGAAUCAGAACUUCGGAACAGAGUGUUUCAAAGCUUCGCUUCCUUGUCCCUGGAUUCCAUAGUCUGCAAUGAUUGCACUCAAGGCCAAAUAUGAGCGUAUGACAUGAUGAUUCGAAAGCUGUAGAGCUUAAGACGCCACCUACAGCGAAUUUGGGCUCCAUUUACGAGUUGGUUGAUUGGCUAGUAUACUCUUUUAUGGCUCCAAAUUUCUGAAGUUUCCAGGAACAAGCGGCAAGUGACGCUAUUCACAUAAAGGUACCAGCUUCUUUCUUAAUUUUAUUCUUAAAUGUCAUGCAAAUAUUAUUCCAUGGCAUAGACAUAAAAUUCUGAGAAAAUGAAGCAUACACAGGGAAGGAGAAUGAAUUCUGUUAGACUACAUGUCUUGUUUCUCCUCAAGUUUCCUUGUCCCACCACCACAUUACUCACCUAAUCAAACCUUCCCACCGACCACGUGAAAAUCUUAAAAGUAAUUCUGGAAUAGUAUCAGCAGGCUACCAUGGAAUAGUAUGAGCAAAGUUGGAAGUUCCUGAAUUUCUAUCUUUGAAUUUGCCAAUCCUCACUUUCUUUCUGCAGAAGUUUGAGUGAUUACAAAUAUAUUACCAAACUAGAUCAUUCUUCUUGGACCCGUCAAGGCUAUUUAGGGAUAUUCCUAUCUCAUUCUUCUUACCCCCAAUUUGACUUUUUGUGGAUAGUCAUUAACUUCCAUUCAUUUUUCUUUUCAACUUGCCCAUGUGGAGGCCUGGAAAUACCAUCACAGACUGAAACAUUAUCAUUCUGGUUAAAGUAGAACUUUUGAUAAGUAUUCUGACUUUAUAGGUAUCUUGUAUUCCGUUGUGAAUAAAAUUUAACCUUGGUCAAAUGAGAUAGCACGCCAAGUUGGUCUAAUGAAAUAAAGACCAAUCUAAAUAGUAGAGAGUUUAAAGGAAAUGAGAUGAAGUCACGCUGGCUACUUGCCUAAGAUUUAGUAUCCUACGAGUUUUUUUUUUUUUUUUUAUAAUCUUGUCAAAUCCUUAUCCUAUAAGGAUAGUCGAGAGAUGCACAACUUGACCCGAAUACUCUCUCUCUCUCUCUCUCUCUCUAUAUAUAUACAUAUAUAUAAUUACUAUGGGAGUUACUCUUUCCCUCCCUGCUGUGACCUUCCAUUCAUCAGCUUUUGUUAUACUUCAUCAUUUUGGGUCAUUUCAUAACUUCAAAACACCACAAUCCACUUCUCUCUCUUUUCCAUGGAUGGUCUAUGGAAAUCAUCCUUCAGCCUUCCACUGUGUUUGGAAAAAAGUAGCUAGUGAUGGUUUAGCAACAAAUGUUGGUUUAUUUAGUUCUACGACUUGAGAAAGUGUCUCUAAGGAGUACUCGAGUCAAAAGCACCUCAGCCGUAUUUGGAUCAAAAGCAAAAACAAAAAACUGUCUCUAAGGAGUACUCGAGUCAAAAGCACCUCAGCCGUAUUUGGAUCAAAAGCAAAAACAAAAAACUACGCCUUUCGAAACAAGAGUAAUAGCUUUUAACAUAGAAAACUCAAAAGACCAGCUUUAUCAAGCAUGCCCAAAUUAAUCAGACACCACCUAAUAUACUAAAGCAAUUCCAUAUUUGAGCAAAGGGGGAAAAUAAUGUUGUUGGGUUAUUUCCAAAAGGGGAAUAAAAAUAAAUCAAUUUUAAUUACAUGUGGGAUCCAUCAUAAUAAUACUAGAGACGUAAAAGAUUAAAAAAAAAAAAAAAAAAUUAAAAAAAAGUUGUGAGACUUAUUAAUGUAAUGUCUCAAGCAGCCUACAAUUUGGACUCCUCAUUACACGUGACUUGAAUUGUUUCAAAACUAUGAGUUGUCUCUAUGAACAAUUUGAAAACAACUUUAACCUUUCUAUUUUGUAUUUUUGUCAUCUUAAAAUCUCUUUCGUUUUGCCCUCUCUUCCCUUUGGUACUUUGGGUGUCAUUUUUAAAUUAGCAUUACAAAUAAUAAAAAUGAAAGUGAGGAAAAAUAAUAUAUUGAAAUGGGAUCUUAUUUCUUAGAAGUAAGAUCCAAUUUACUAGCCUAGGGCUUUGCCCAAAUAUCGGUCAUAUUUGACAGGCACUCCUUGGCCCAACUUUCCACUUAGUUGAAAAAGGAGAAAAAAA